rnacentral:lncRNA from 1 species
ACACCUCAGAGCACUGGCAUGUUUACUGUGGUGUUCUACAUACGGCUCGGGAGCCAGCAAGUGCGUAUGAAGCCCCUUCACAUGGCUAGUGGCAUCCUAAGGACCCGGCGACAAUUAGUCAUGGCGUCAUCGAACACCAGGCUGGAGGAGGUCUUGGAUGCCACAGCUCCUUUUGAAUUUCAAAGACGUUCAAAUCCCCAUCUGGCUGUUACACUUUUAGGCUAUUGAGAGUGAAAACAAGCACUGACAUGAACACCCAACCAGCUGCCGGUGACAUCGUCCCCUUCUGAGAUCUGAGGACAUGGAUACCCAACCACCUGCCGGUGACAUCGUCUCCUUCUGAGAUCUGAGGAC